ACAACCACCUCCCUGUCAAACGGAGUUCCCCCCUUUGGUGGUCUUCUCAGUAACUGUGAGGUGAUUGGUGCCUCCUCAGCAGGAACUUUGAGCACUCUUGUCCAAAACUCUGAGCUAAAAUAAAAUCAGCACAGCUCUCUGACGCCCAUUGGAAACAGACUGGACACCCAAGUGAUUCUAUUACGAAGAUCGCAAAUCACAACGAACUGAGUGUGUUGGUGUGAACCCGUUAGCUCAGGGCCCAGAAAAAGGAGAGAAGGAGGACUCGUGGAGCAGCUCAGUCGUGUGCUAGCCACACAGGCAUGAGGUCCUGAGUUUGGAUCCGGUGUGAAAAGCUGGCGAGAGCGGGGACAGAGAUGGGCAGCUCCUCAGGAGUCACGGGCAAGUCCAGGUUCAGUGAGAGACUCUGCCUCAAAAACCACGAUGUUGAUUGGAGUAAACUGACAAUGAAGUCAUUCCCCUGCCUCAGGUGAUCAGGCGACCCCCCCUCCCCACCAGAAGGAAGCAGCUUCCCUUCCAUCCAUCAAAUCCACCUCUACACCCCUCGCAGCACAUAACUGUGUCUCCCUUGAGUUGACUCUGAAGUCUUCCUGGAUCUCUCAUUAACGACUGAGGUAAAUAAGUUUUGACACAUGGUUAUUUAAUGUUUGUGAACUAGCUUUAUCUUUGAGAAAUUAAUCCAAACACUGUGGAGAUGAACACCCAACUUUUCUUUUUUAAAGUUGUUCCUUUUAAUAUUUAAAAAGUUAUUGUAUUUUUUGGGGUUAUAUCAUUUCCCCUUCCUUUUCUUCACUCCAAACUCUCCUAUAUACCUCCCCUUGCUCUCGUUC